GCCUCAUGAAGCAUUGAAGCUUUUCAGCCAAGUGGUUCACAAAAAGGUUCAUUUCUCGAGGCUUCAUUUGCUCACAAUACCACCUGGUGGUCAAAGAGUGUAAAACAAGUAGAUACAUUACAGAUGACCCGAUGUGAUCUGUGAUACACUGUAUUUUGCGGCAGUUAUGGCCUAGAAAUAACGGUGAAGAAAAAAUCAAUUUCCACAAAGACUUAUAUAUUUAUUUGAAUGUAAUGUGUAUUUUCUGGUUGUAUAUGAUUGUAUAACAUAAGUGUGUAAUAAACGUAUUGGCUUCAAAUGAAUGGGGCUAUCAAAUGUGUGUAAACAAAUUCUUUGGUCAUAACAGGCAGGAGGGGCGAUAUUAUUAUUCUAAAACCACAAAUUCUGAGGGGAUCCCAUGGUUUAUAUGUCUGUCAAAAUGUCGCGUCAAGAUUUGAACCACAUCCAGUCGAACCAUUCGAACCAGUCAGGCAGAAGCGAGGCUUCGAACGUCAUCAAUGACGUCAUUGAUCUAAAGCGAUACAAGCCUCGAUAUGCGCUUCACUGAAAGCUUCCGGGAUUUCUCGACACACGCUCCGAAGCCUCGGCACAGACCGUGACUUCCCGGGCUCCAUAGUCUCUUCCUGAAUCAAGAUGGACUCAACAUGAUCAGGUUUCCAUCCUUCACCAACAGGAGAUUCACCAGUCAUGAUCAAUUCCUGAUGUUUAUUUUCCAUACCAUGUGCUGGUCUCUCUCUGCUGUGUUCAGGAAAAUACAUGAUGCAGUGCAGGAUUCAAACCCCUUUAAUGUGUGUAGUGAACAUGAAAUUACAUUUUUCUGUUAGUAUUGGAGUUAUUCAUGUAAUGUGGCAUAUUUACUUGUCAAACUGUUAUUUAUGGCUCAUUAAAGUGACAUGUAAUAGCUUAAGUCUUUAUUAGUCAAAAUUGACUUGUGCUAGGAUGAUGCAAACACUUUAUUUUAUGUUGAUCAGUUCCUGUAGCUCAAAAAGUAAAGAUGACUUGCAAGGCCAAGGUCAUAAUUCUCAGGGUAACGAAUGAUCUGAUAAACGUAUAGCUUAAAAAAAAAAAAAAUUUAAUGCAACCAAUUUAGUUAAACAUCAGUUUCCAUUAAAGAUGCAAUGUGUACAAUUUGGGAGGAUCUAUUGACAGAAAUGCAAUAUAAUAUACAUAACUAUGUUUUCAGUGGUGUAUAAAGACCUUACAUAACGAACCAUUAAAAAAUGUUUUUAUUAUCUUAGAAUGAGUCAUUUCUUUCUCAUACACCGUUGGUCCCCCAUCCAUUAUGCACCAGCAUGUUUCUACAGCAGCCCUUAACAGACAAACACUCUACAGAGCAUGUUUCGUCACUAUGUCUAAAUCGUUCAUGUUUUUAGAGGCAG